rnacentral:tRNA from 1 species
GCGGGUGUGGCGGAAUUGGCAGACGCGCAGGUUUUAGGUACCUGUGUCUUCGGACGUGGGAGUUCAAGUCUCCCCACCCGCA